UACGAAGGGGGCUAGCGUUGCUCGGAUUGACUGGGCGUAAAGGGCGCGUAGGCGGAUGACACAGUCAGAUGUGAAAUUCCCGGGCUUAACCUGGGGGCUGCAUUUGAUACGUGUUGUCUAGAGUGAGGAAGAGGGUUGUGGAAUUCCCAGUGUAGAGGUGAAAUCGUAGAUAUUGGGAAGAACACCGGUGGCGAAGGCGGCAACCUGGUCCUUGACUGACGCUGAGGCGCGAAAGCGUGGGGAGCAAACAGG
rnacentral:rRNA from 1 species